AGCUUCUUGAGUCCGUGCUGAGAUUUCGUCAGACAAUAGCCCAUUAUGGCUGAUCAAGCUUCCAAGAUAAGUGAAGUU
rfam:Schistosoma haematobium scaffold45_8, whole genome shotgun sequence.